rnacentral:ncRNA from 1 species
AUCAUGAUACUUCCGUCCAGUCACAGUCCGAGUGGUAACCAAUCCAUCGCAGGCAAUGAGGGCGGCCGACAGCGAUCCUGCCGGGGGUGAGAUUCCCAUGA